AUUGAACGCUGGCGGCAGGCCUAACACAUGCAAGUCGAACGAGUGGCGGACGGGUGAGUAAUGUCUGGGAAACUGCCCGAAGGAGGGGGAUAACUACUGGAAACGGUAGCUAAUACCGCAGACCCUCGGAUGAGCCCAGAUGGGAUGAGCGAGUAGGUGGGGUAACGGCUCACCUAGGCGACGAUCCCUAGCUGGUCUGAGGGGGUGACCAGCCACACUGGAACUGAGACACGGUCCAGACUCCUACGGGAGGCAGCAGUGGGGAAUAUUGCACAAUGGGCGCAAGCCUGCUGCAGCCAUGCCGCGUGUAUGAAGAAGGCCUUCGGGUUGUAAAGUACUUUCAGCGGGGAGGCGUUACUCGCAGAAGAAGCACCGGCUAACUCCGUGCCAGCCGCCGCGGUAAUAC
rnacentral:rRNA from 1 species